rnacentral:rRNA from 1 species
GCCUACACAUGCAAGUCGAGCGGGGAUACAAAGUGAGUAAUUGUUUUGUAUUCUAGCGGCGGACGGGUGAGUAACGCGUGAGCAACCUGUCCCAGUCUGGGGGAUAAGGAGCCGAAAGGCUCUCUAAUACCGCAUGAGACCACAGCAUCACAUGGUGCAGGGGUCAAAGGACUUCGGUCCGGACAGGGAUGGGCUCGCGUCUGAUUAGUUAGUUGGCGGGGUAACGGCCCACCAAGACAGCGAUCAGUAGCCGACCUGAGAGGGUGAU